AUUCGAUAAUCAUAACCUAGUAUCCGUAGUAUCGAGUAGGAUCGAGCAACUCUGUAUUCUGUAAUUGUUGGAACGAUUUUAAAUACAUCCGACUAUAUCAAGUACUAACUCGUUUCAUCGUUUGAAACAACAUGUUUGAUAUCCACCACAUUGAGAAAAUCUGUAUUCCGAAUGAAGCCGAAAAAUAACUCGUUCGAAUCCAGACGAAAAGCAUACAGAAAUGUUUGUACAAUACUCGAUUAUUCGCUUCGAAUGGAAGAGAUACUACCGCGAAACGUAAUCAAACGUGCGACAAAGUAUUUCUUCGGAUAGUUUCUCCGUCUUUUGUAGCAGACUAUUCCGCCUGUACGAAGGGUAACCUAUACAUGAUACGGUAUCUCCCCUUAAAGUCAGACCAGAUCCGAAAUGCUCUGUGAUUCGCUCGUCCUUAACCUUGCAUAAGGAUCAAGCAACUAGAUUUAGGCAAACUUCUAACUUUAGGCAGCAUAUACCGGGCGUAAAAUUUAUGCCGGAACCAGUGGAAAUUUAACCCGAGUUUCUAAUACUAUGUAUUCUUUAUCGAAUACAAUGAGAUCGAUGAGACGUCUUAUGGACAUGCACGCAGUCUGUAAAUAUGAAUUAUAUGAAUUAUAUAUAUGAGGUGUAUAUGUAGAGGUCGAACGGCCUUUCCAUAACGGAUAUUCCAUCCGUUGCAUGAUGACAAGGCUCAGCAAGAACUUCUUCAGUGUCACAACAGUGUCAGGCGUCACAAAAAAUGUAUACAUAUCAUCCUAGUGACGAGUAAUAUAAUUUAAUGGCUUGUUGCUACGCGUCGAUGAGACGCAGAAAACCGGAGCUCACGUUCGAAGAGGUGAAGGAGGAAGGAUUUUUAACGAGUAUGCCGCAUAUCGCUUUAGGCGAGUUCCACAUAUCUCGCUAGCGGGAAUGCGUAAUUGCAUUCUUCCCUUCUCUCGCAAAAAAGAAACAAACAAGAAAAUGUGGUGCGAUUGACAUUAAAAGCAAGUGUCGUUGAUUUUAAUAUUUCUUAUAUUCAACCUCACAGCUAAUAAAAUCUCUCAUUCACGUUCUUUUAUUCCAAACUUUUAUCUAUCUUGUGAGAGAGACAAUCGGUCUCGAGGUGCGCCGAGCUGAGGAAUUUACGAUUCUCAUGAAGCCCCCCGUGAGGUAUCAAUUUACGAUAGAUUCGUUAAAGGAGU
rnacentral:lncRNA from 1 species